CGGCAACAGCUCAAAUUUGAAAUCUGGCCUCUUUCGGGGUCCGAGUUGUAAUUUGUAGAGGAUGCUUCGGCUUAUGUACCGGUCUAAGUUCCUUGGAACAGGACGUCACAGAGGGUGAGAAUCCCGUUUGUGGCCGGCACUUCCGCCAUGUGAAGCUCCUUCGAC
rnacentral:rRNA from 1 species